GAAAUAUUUUGUAUAGUGCAUCUUGCUUUUCUUCCAUCUGGCCUGAGGUUUUCAUCAAGGUGGCCACAUCUCCGCUACCAUUUAUUUGAUAUCACAUAGCUGCUCAUUAAGUCUCUUACAGCAGGAUUCAGAUUCACCAUCGCUACAAAGAAAUGAAUUGUUUCUCAUUCAAGGCAGAGGAAGCUCCUGACAAAUGAAAUUCGACUACUUACGCAGAAGGAGAGCCCCCAUGCAUCCAUUUAUUUUCCAAAACAAAUUACAGCAAUAGAAAUUGAAACUAUGGAAUAAACAGGGCAGCCAGUUCUGAUCUUCAGAAUAUUAACUCUGAUCACUGAAAUCAAGUAUAAGGUUUGCUUAAUUUGGAGUGUCUUCCUGAAGGUGUGUGAAUGCUCUUGACAGAUGCUGUGCAACUUACAGCAUCUCACCUGCGGUCUUGACCCAUGAGUGCAAAGGUGACGUGAGGACGUGGCUUCUGCACAAAAGCUUUUGCCAGGACUGGUUUAUUUGAUCUCACUGAAGAAAUGGAAACACACAGAAGAGCCCAGAAACAUGUAAGCAAGGUGCAGUGGGGCUGACGUCUUGCAUCUUCAUCAAGUAAGCCCAGCUGCUGAGUUGGUCACCUCUGGGGAAGGAAGACCCUCGCCAGCAUUGACAGAGCAGUGCAUCUCCUACAGAACCUCUCUGAGCACCGCUAAGAGCGCUCCUCUUCCUCCGCUGAGUGAUUUCAAGAAUGCUCCGGUGAUGUGGUCCAGAAGACACUGUUUCCAAGGUG